GGUCUCCCUCUGUUGCCCAGGCUGGAGUGCCCAAGGUUGGUCGUGGCUCACUGAAGCAUCCUGGGCUCUGGCCAUCUUCCCGCCUCAGCCAGCCCAGCAUGUCAUCCAGCUUGAUGAACAUUCCACGUGCACGUGACAAGAAUGGAUAUUCUGCUGUUGUUGGCUGUAGUGUUCUAUGUCAGACAGGGUCUCACUCUGUCACCCAGGCCGAGUGCAGUGACAUGAGCACAGUUCACGGUAGCAUUGACCUCCCAGGCUCAAGCGAUCCUCCCACCUCAGCCCCCCAUCCCUGUGGGGGUGUCAGUGAUGCUUGGACUCCACUAAGUGCACCAUUGUCCUACUCCAUCUCCUUCGAGCCUGCUGUCAACCUCUGCACACAUGGCCUCGGCCCCUAGCCCUGGAUGACCACCACUGGACCCAGCAGAACGGCAGCAGUGGUUUGCUGGCCCAGCACCUAGAGCUGCAGAAUAUGCUCCCUUGACCCUCAGGGAAAGACGCAGAGCUAGUGAGACUUACUCUCUCCUCCACCACCAAAGUGAAGGACAUUUGUCAUUGGAUUUAGGGCCCACCCAGAAUCCAGGAGGGGCGCAUCUUCAGAUCCUUAAUGACAUCUACAAAGACCCUUUAUCUAAAUAGGUCAGAUUCACAGGUCCCGGCGGUCAGGACAUGGACAUACGUUUUUGAGGGCGCCAUUCAACCCGCAACGGGAGCCAUCACAUUCUCAUUUCUCCUUCCUUAAUGUUCUCACGGGCCCAGCACACAGGCCAGGAUGGAGCAUUCUUUGAGGUGUUCCUGGGAGCCCAGCAACAGACUGGGUGUUCAGUGUGCCCCUGUCGGUCUCCACGUGGGCCCUGCAAGGAGGAGCCACCCCCGUUUUACGGGGGGUUCAGGGCUUGUGGCCAGAUGCGCAGCUAGGCCUGGAUCAGGCUCCCGUCCGGCCCCAGUGCGUCUGCCGUGCCCAUGACCCCGGGCUGUGUCUCUCAGAAUCCGCCAAGAUUCCAGGGCAGAUAACUGCAGAGCUCCCCCGAGUCCUGUGCACGCCUCGGCUCACACUGCAGCUCAGCGGCAGCAACGCGGGUGACAGAAACCAGCUCUGUGUCUGUGAGCCUCUGCCUCACCUUCUGGGGGAUGGCACAGUAUUGCUCCAAGACAUGCAAACUAACAGCUGCGGGCAGCAGAGACAGUGAGGCAACCCUGCCGCACUCUCCAACCAUGCCCUCCUCAGGCAUGCGGAGAAAGCACCCCUUCAUCUGUGCAAGGAAUCCUCAAGAAGCAGACAAAAUUCAUGCACCGUUAAUUCAGAUGUUACAGUCACAUCCAGUGCUAAGGGCUGUCCUUUGAAAACGGCUGAGGUAGACACAUCUUCCAAGAACAAAUCAUAGAAAUGUUACCAGGCGAUUGUCUUCACAACCUCUGCGUCAGUGAUGGGGACUUGGGGGUAAGUUUUUGGUUGGUGUUGUGAACAGUGCCAGCUCCCUAAAGCAAGCUUGCUUUUCUGUUGUUUGAAAUACUGCAGGAGAACUGAAAUUCUCUUAAAAUAUACCGGUUUCCGGUUCAAGAGAAAUACUUUUUUGCACCAAUUUAAUUCAGGUUUCUAAAGCCGAGGCAGGGAUGGCAUCACAGUCUGUUGAAUGAAUUCCAGCUCAUUUGGGGCCUUUCCAUGACAAAUCAUUCCUAAUGGAAUCUCUCCAAAGCACAGGGGAAAAAAAUCGAAGGCAUCAAAGUGCCCUUUCCAUUUCAAUAAACUCCACUGGCCAGGAUUCUGUUUGCAUAACACAGAAUAAACAUGGAACCCAGGCCUGCCCAGCACAUUUACUCCCUGGUUAGCACCUCUGUUCACCUGUUUUCUCUUUUAUAUGAGUGACCAUUUCCUAAAACGCAAUCAAUCAAUCACUGUCAAGUAAGAUCUUGAAAUUAUCACCAUGGAGAAAAGACAUGAAGAGUCUGCAUUAAGGUAACGUGACCGGUGCCUAGAGUGAGGAAGGAGCACGUUUCAGAAUGGUCCCGGGUCAUUUUCAAGACCUUCGCCCCGUCACUGUUGGAUGAAAUAAGGAGCCGGACAUCAGUGUUUAUUAAACCAGAUUUAUUCUCCACAAGCUGAAGAUACCUGAGGUUACAUGAGGACUGGCAUUAAAUAAUUUAUAAAUGUAUUUCUGACAGACUUUUAUCAUAAGGAUUCAUGUGUUUACAAAAGCAAAAUCCAACCUCUCCGCAGCUAGAAAGUGGGAAGGUGCCCGGGCUGCAAGCACAGCCUUGGGGGAGGAUGAGGCCACAUAAUUCUCUCCGCCCGCACUCUCAGAACGCCCCAAGAAGUUAGUGGCUAUGCAAAGCCAAGCCUUGGGGGAAAACCUGGUCCGUGGUGUGGACUCUCCAAAAUGCAGACCCAACCGGAGGCCGGGCCCGCCUUUCCAUCUGGAGGCACUGCAGAGCUUCUGAAAGCGGCCCAUCCCAGGAGCCUGGCAAACACCCCCAGAGACCCUCAGGAUGCGCCGGCCCUGGGGCUUUGUCCUGAGAAGCUGGGGCUCCGUGGCCCAGCUUGUGGAUGGGUGCCCAGGGGGCAGGCCCCAUGUCCUCAGCACGUGCUGACACGCUCCCUCCGGCUCCAACAACCACACCAGAACCUUCCAUAGAA